GGAGAUUUAGCUCAGCGGUAGAGUGCUUGCCUAGCAAGCUCAAGGCCCUGGGUUCAGUCCCCAGCUCCG
rnacentral:tRNA from 1 species